rnacentral:rRNA from 1 species
CCUACGGGAGGCAGCAGUAGGGAAUAUUGCUCAAUGGGGGAAACCCUGAAGCAGCAACGCCGCGUGGAGGAUGAAGGUUUUCGGUACGUAAAGCUCUAUCAGCAGGGACGAAAAUGACGGUACCUGACUAAGAAGCAUCGGCUAACUCAGUGCCAGCAGCCGCGGUCAUACGGAGGAUGCGAGCGUUAUCCGGAUUUAUUGGGUGUAAAGGGUGCGUAGGCGGAGUGUAAAGUCAGCGGUAAAAUUUCGGGGCUCAACCCCGUCGUGCCGUUGAAACUGACUCCCUGGAGUUGGUGAGAAGUAAGCGGAAUGCGUGGUGUAGCGGUGAAAUGCAUAGAGAUCACGCAGAACGCCGAUUGCGAAGGCAGCUUACCGGCGCUCAACUGACGCUGAGGCACGAAAGUGCGGGUAUCGAACAGGAUUAGAUACCCUUGUAGUC